rnacentral:rRNA from 1 species
CGGAGGUACUCGAGUGGCGAACGGGUGAGUAACACGUGGGUGAUCUGCCCUGCACUCUGGGAUAAGCCUGGGAAACUGGGUCUAAUACCGGAUAGGACCAUGCUUUAGUGUGUGUGGUGGAAAGUUUUUUCGGUGUAGGAUGAGCCCGCGGCCUAUCAGCUUGUUGGUGGGGUAAUGGCCUACCAAGGCGGCGACGGGUAGCCGGACUGAGGGGUUGGUCGGCCACAUUGGGACUGAGAUACGGCCCAG